rnacentral:lncRNA from 1 species
UAGGCAAUUUCUUAAAAUGAAGAGGAAAGCCCAAGCAUUGAAAGGGGAGAGAACCCUGUUUACAGUUCAUCCAAGAUGCAAAUUGAGCAGACUCAUUCUCUGUCAUAUUCAAACAGAUGAUCAAGCUUUUAUGGAAGUUUAUACUCAGACUAGAUGCACCGUCAAAUGCUAAUAAAAUUACUUUGGAAGUCAAUACACUGUCCUUCUUGCCAGCAUAAAAUAAUAGAGUGUCAUCAACAAACUGUAAGCUCAAAAUAUCAUCAAACUCCUUCUGAUGCCCAAUACCUUCG